GGACUCGUAGCUCAAUUAGCAGAGCAACCCGUUGUCUGCGGGAAGGCUGAGGGUGCAAGUCCCUUCGGGUCCGCCA
rnacentral:tRNA from 1 species